rnacentral:rRNA from 1 species
ACUCCUACGGGAGGCAGCAGUGGGGAAUCUUGGACAAUGGGGGCAACCCUGAUCCAGCCAUGCCGCGUGUGUGAAGAAGGCCUCGGUUGUAAAGCACUUUCAGUCGUGAGGAAGGCGGGUACGUUAAUAGCGUAUUCGUUUGACGUUAGCGACAGAAGAAGCACCGGCUAACUCCGUGCCAGCAGCCGCGGUAAUACGGAGGGGUGCGAGCGUUAAUCGGAAUUACUGGGCGUAAAGCGCAUGCAGGUGGUUUGUUAAGUCAGAUGUGAAAGCCCGGGGGCUCAACCUCGGAAUUGCAUUUGAAACUGGCAAACUAGAGUACUGUAGAGGGGGUAGAAUUUCAGGUGUAGCGGUGAAAUGCGUAGAGAUCUGAAGGAAUACCGGUGGCGAAGGCGGCCCCUGGACAGAUACUGACACUCAGAUGCGAAAGCGUGGGGAGCAAACAGGAUUAGAUACCCUGGUAGGACAGUG